rnacentral:piRNA from 1 species
UAUGAUAAAAUUUUGCCGUCUCGUCAGUC